rnacentral:rRNA from 1 species
AGUGAACGCUGGCGGUAGGCCUAACACAUGCAAGUCGAACGGCAGCACAGUAAGAGCUUGCUCUUACGGGUGGCGAGUGGCGGACGGGUGAGGAGUACAUCGGAAUCUACUUUUUCGGGGGGGAUAACGUAGGGAAACUUACGCUAAUACCGCAUACGACCUACGGGUGAAAGCAGGGGAUCUUCGGACCUUGCGCGAUUGAAUGAGCCGAUGUCGGAUUAGCUAGUGGGCGGGGUAAAGGCCCACCAAGGCGACGAUCCGUAGCCGGUCUGAGUGGAUGAUCGCCCACACUGGAACUUAGACACGGUCCUGAGUACUACGGGAGGCAGCAGUGGGGAAUAUUGGGCAAUGGGCGCAAGCCUGAUCCAGCCGUCCCGCGUGGGUGAAGAAGGCCUUCGGGUUGUAAAGCCCUUUUGUGGGGAAAGAAAAGCAGCAGGUUAAUACCCCGCUGUUCUGACGGUACCCAAAGAAUAAGCACCGGCCAACUUCGUG